rnacentral:rRNA from 1 species
GAUGAACGCUGGCGGCGUGCCUAAUACAUGCAAGUCGAGCGAACAGAUGCGGAGCUUGCUCCUCUGACGUUAGCGGCGGACGGGUGAGUAACACGUGGAUAACCUCCCUAUAAGACUGGGAUAACUUCGGGAAACCGGCGCUAAUCCCGGAUAAUAUAUUGAACCGCAUGGUUCAAUAGUGAAAGACGGUUUUGCUGUCACUUAUAGAUGGAUCUGCGCCGCAUUAGCUAGUUGGUAAGGUAACGGCUUACCAAGGCAACGAUGCGUAGCCGACCUGAGAGGGGGAGCGGCCACACUGGAACUGAGACACGGUCCAGACUCCUACGGGAGGCAGCAGUAGGGAAUCGUCCGCAAUGGGCGAAAGCCAGACGGAGCAACGCCGCGUGAUGGAUGAAGGUCUUCGGAUCGUAAAACUCUGUUAUUAGGGAAGAACAAAUGUGUAAGUAACUAUGCACGUCUUGACGGUACCUAAUCAGAAAGCCACGGCUAACUACGUG